AUACGUAGGUGGCAAGCGUUGUCCGGAAUUAUUGGGCGUAAAGCGCGCGCAGGUGGUUCCUUAAGUCUGAUGUGAAAGCCCCCGGCUCAACCGGGGAGGGUCAUUGGAAACUGGGGAACUUGAGUGCAGAAGAGGAUAGUGGAAUUCCAAGUGUAGCGGCGAAAUGCGUUGAGAUUUGGAGGAACACCAGUGGCGAAGGGGACUGCCUGGUCUGUAACUGACACUGAGGCGCGAAAGCGUGGGGAGCAAACAGGAUUAGAUACCCGGGUAGUCCACGCCGUAAACGAUGAGUGCUAAGUGUUGGGGGGUUUCCGCCCCUCAGUGCUGCAGCUAACGCAUUAAGCAAUCCGCCGGGGGAUUACGGUCGCAAGAUUACAACUCAAAUGAAUUGACGGGG
rnacentral:rRNA from 1 species